rnacentral:lncRNA from 1 species
CGUUUGGUUCAGAAAUAAAUAGUACCUAGUUAUACCGAAAAUAGAUAGAAUAUAAAUUUUUAAUAAGAACAAAAGUAUUUUAUUAUUUGGAUGAAAAUAUAAGUAUAAUAUAAAACUAGAAAAAUUAUAUUUGGAUGGUUAUUGAAAAUAAGAAGAAUAGUUGUUAGUUAUAAAUAGAAAAUAAUGAUAUUAUCUCUAUAAUUAAAUUUAAAUUUUUAAAUUUUAAACUUAUAAUUUUAAAUUAAAAAUUAAAAAUUUUAACUUUUAAAUUUUAAAUUUUGAAAUUAUAAUUUCAAAUAUCAAAUUUUAAAUUUAAGACCAAAUUUAAAUUUUAAAGAUAUAAAAUAGCAAAUUUAAAAUUUAAAAACUAAACAUAUCAAAUUUAUAAUUUAAAAUUUAAAAAUAUCAAAUUUAAAAUUUAAACUUUAAAAUUUAUAAUUUUAAAUUAUAAAUUUAAAUUUUAAAAUUAUAAAUUUUAAGAAUUUAAAUUUAAAUUUAAAAUAAAAAUCUCUCUCUCUCUCUACCCAAGUGGGUGGGAACUAGCUUGGCCGAGUGGGAACUAUUGUUUCUACCUUACUCCGGUAAGGUGAGAACAAUAGUUCCCACCAUACCCCAAUUUUUGUUUGGGU